rnacentral:rRNA from 1 species
CAUACAGGGGGAUAACACUUAGAAAUAGGUGCUAAAACCGCAUAAGCGCACAGGACCGCAUGGUCUGGUGUGAAAAACUCCGGUGGUAUGAGAUGGACCCGCGUCUGAUUAGCCAGUUGGCAGGGUAACGGCCUACCAAAGCGACGAUCAGUAGCCGGCCUGAGAGGGUGAACGGCCACAUUGGGACUGAGACACGGCCCAAACUCCCACGGGAGGCAGCAGUGGGGAAUAUUGCACAAUGGGGGAAACCCUGAUGCAGCGACGCCGCGUGAGUGAAGAAGUAUUUCGGUAUGUAAAGCUCUAUCAGCAGGGAAGAAAAUGACGGUACCUGAGUAAGAAGCCCCGGCUAACUACGUGCCAGCAGCCGCGGUAAUACGUAGGGGGCAAGCGUUAUCCGGAUUUACUGGGUGUAAAGGGAGCGUAGACGGCAUAGCAAGUCUGAAGUGAAAGGCGGGGGCUCAACCCCUGGACUGCUUUGGAAACUGUUAAGCUGGAGCGCAGGAGAGGUAAGUGGAAUUCCUAGUGUAGCGGUGAAAUGCGUAGAUAUUAGGAGGAACACCAGUGGCGAAGGCGGCUUACUGGACUGUAACUGACGUUGAGGCUCGAAAGCGUGGGGAGCAAACAGGAUAAGAUCCCCUGGUAGUCCACGCAGUAAACGAUGAAUACUAGGGUGGUUCGGUGACCACAGGUCAUCGGUGCCGCAGCAAACGCAAUAAGUAUUCCACCUGGGGAGUACGUUCGCAAGAAUGAAACUCAAAGGAGUUGACGGGGACCCGCACAAGCGGUGGAGCAUGUGGUUUAAUUCGAAGCAACGCGAAGAACCUUACCAGGCCUUGACAUCCCGAUGACCGGUACGUAAUGGUACCUUUUCUUCGGAACAUUGGAGACAGGUGGUGCAUGGUUGUCGUCAGCUCGUGUCGUGAGAUGUUGGGUUAAGUCCCGCAACGAGCGCAACCCCUAUGUCCAGUAGCCAGCACGUGACGGUGGGCACUCUGGAGAGACUGCCAGGGACAACCUGGAGGAAGGUGGGGAUGACGUCAAAUCAUCAUGCCCCUUACGGCCUGGGCUACACACGUGCUACAAUGGCGUAAACAAAGGGAAGCGAAGCCGCGAGGUGGAGCAAAUCCCAAAAACAACGUCCCAGUUCGGACUGUAGUCUGCAACCCGACUGCACGAAGCUGGAAUCGCUAGUAAUCGCGAAUCAGAAUGUCGCGGUGAAUACGUUCCCGGGUCUUGUACUCACCGCCCGUCA